rnacentral:rRNA from 1 species
UACGUAGGGUGCAAGCGUUAAUCGCAAUUACUGGGCGUAAAGCGUGCGCAGGCGGUUUUGUAAGUCUGACGUGAAAGCCCCGGGCUCAACCUGGGAAUUGCGUUGGAGACUGCAAGGCUUGAAUCUGGCAGAGGGGGGUAGAAUUCCACGUGUAGCAGUGAAAUGCGUAGAGAUGUGGAGGAACACCGAUGGCGAAGGCAGCCCCCUGGGUCAAGAUUGACGCUCAUGCACGAAAGCGUGGGGAGCAAACAGG